CUUGGUACACAUUUUCUGGAAAGGAAGGUUCUAGAAGUUGUUCCUGGUUGGAAGAGAAGUACAUAGUCGUAUAUUCUUCGUUGUGGGUCCUUCUACUUGUGGCAUGUGGGACGCCACCUCAGCAUGGCUUGAUGAGUGGUGCUGUGUCCGCACCCAGGAUUCCAACCGACGAAACACUGGGCCGCCUGCAGCGGAGCGUGCGAACUUAACCACUCGGCCACGGGGCCAGCCCCACAUCUCUCCAGAUUUUGAGGGGGUUGUCUCUAAAAGAGGUAAUUUUCCUCAAGAAAACCGCCAGUUUUGGAGGCUCUGGUUUGUCACUGAAAUGCAGAACCUGAAUCUGACACACAUUUUUUUGCAGUAAGGAAAGAAAUGGUACGUGCCAGGCACUCUGAGAGAUCAGACGAAGGAGCCACAAACGCAGGGGACAGACGUCAGCACAAGUUCCACAAAGGCGCUGACUUGUGAGCUGGGCCUGGCAGUGGUCAGUGAAGAGGUCCUCAGGGAGCCAAAGGCGGGCUAGGAGGGCAUGGGAGGACAACUUUCCACUUUGGCAUUAAGUCUCAAGUCAGACUAUUAGAAUGACAAUUCCUUAGAAGCUGACACCCUGUUUGAUUCAUCUUCCUAUGUCCCAGGGACUUUUCUAAACCCUUGCCCUCAGUGGAGCCCCAAGUAACAGUGGUGUUUAAUUCAUUCCCUGGUCUGAAGGGAUUCAGCAGCUUUCCAUUAAUUAUGAAGAAAUCCACCCCCUCUCCUGGAUGACGAAGCCCCGUGAGAUCUGUACCUCUCUUGGCUUGCUCUUCCCUUCCCCAAUUUGACUGUAUCACUCAUUCUGUGACUGGCUAUUUCUCAUUCUUUAGGUUUCCAUGUAAACGUCCUCUCCUCAGAGAGGUCCUGCCUGAUAGGCUUGUCUAAGCAGCCUCCUCAUACUCCGCUCUGAU
rnacentral:lncRNA from 1 species